rnacentral:rRNA from 1 species
UACGAGGGGUGCUAGCGUUAUUCGGAUUGACUGGGCGUAAAGGGUGUGUAGGUGGCAGAUUAAGUCUGUUGUUAAAUUCUUCAGCCUAACUGAAGGUAUGCAAUGGAUACUGGUAUUGCUAGAGAGUGAAAGAGAGAAGUGGAAUUCUCGGAGUAGCGGUAAAAUGCGUAGAUCUCGAGAGGAACACCGAUGGCGAAGGCAGCUUCUUGGUUCACUUCUGACACUGAAACACGAAAGCGUGGGGAGCAAACAGG